rnacentral:rRNA from 1 species
UACGUAGGGGGCAAGCGUUGUCCGGAAUCAUUGGGCGUAAAGCGCGUGUAGGCGGCCCGAUAAGUCCGCCGUGAAAGCCCAGGGCUCAACCCUGGGAUGCCGGUGGAUACUGUCGGGCUAGAAUCCGGAAGAGGCGAGUGGAAUUCCUGGUGUAGCGGUGAAAUGCGCAGAUAUCAGGAGGAACACCGAUGGCGAAGGCGGCUCACUGGUCCGGUACUGACGCUGAGGUGCGAAAGCGUGGGGAGCAAACAGG